rnacentral:rRNA from 1 species
AACGUAGGACACAAGCGUUAUCCGGAGUUACUGGGCGUAAAGGGCGUGUAGGCGGACGUGUAAGUCUAUUCUGAAAGCUCCUGGCUAACUGGGAGAGGCGAAUGGAGACUGCAUAUCUAGAGUGAGGAAGAGGAAAGUGGAAUUCCGCGUGUAGUGGUGAAAUGCGUAGAGAUGCGGAGAACACCAGUGGCGAAAGCGACUUUCUGGUCCUUAACCUGACGCCUGAGGCGCCGAAAGCAUGGGAGCGAACGGG